rnacentral:rRNA from 1 species
GUCGAGAAUCUUCCGCAAUGCGCGAAAGCGUGACGGAGCGACACCGCGUGAUGGAUGAAGUCCUUUGGGGCGUAAACAUCUUUUAUAAAGGAGGAAAUUUUUGACGUUACUUUAUGAAUAAGGGGCUCCCAAUCUCGUGCCAGCAGGAGCGGUAAUACGAGAGCCUCAAGCGUUAUCCGGAAUCAUUGGGCGUAAAGGGUGCGUAGGUGGUUUGAUUAGUCUCCCGUUAAAACUUCGAGCUUAACUCGAAAAGAGCGGGGGAAACGGUCAAACUAGAGUAUGUGAGAGGUGUGUGGAACUCAUGGUGUAGGGGUGAAAUCCGUUGAUAUCAUGGGGAACACCAAAAGCGAAGGCAGCACACUGGCACAUCACUGACACUGAGGCACGAAACCUAAGGUAGCGAAUGGGAUUAGAAACCCGGGUAGUCC